GACGAACCGUGCGAACGUUGUUCGGAAUCACUGGGCUUAAAGGGCGCGUAGGCGGACCAUCAAGUCAGGAGUGAAAUCCCCCGGCUCAACCGGGGAAGUGCUUUUGAUACUGGUGGUCUCGAGUGGGGUAGGGGCGUGCGGAACUUCCGGUGGAGCGGUGAAGUGCGUAGAGAUCGGAAGGAACGCCGGUGGCGAAAGCGGCACGCUGGACCCUUUCUGACGCUGAGGCGCGAAAGCCAGGGGAGCAAACGGG
rnacentral:rRNA from 1 species